rnacentral:lncRNA from 10 species
GAAAUGAGGUGAAAUUAAAUGAGAUGAUGGAAUUAAAUGAUGAAAUGAAAUAAUGAAAUGGAAAUGAUGAGAUGAGAUGAGAUGAAAUGACGAGAUGAAUGAUGAGAUGAAAUGAGAUGAAAUGAUGAGACGCAAUGAUGAGAUGAAAUGAUGAAAUGAUGAGAUGAGACGAGAAGAAAUGAUGAGAUGAAAUGAGAUGAGAUAAAAUGAGAUGAAAUGAAGUGAAAUGAAAUGAAAUAAUGAAAUUGAAAUGAGAUGAGAUGAAAUGAGAUAAAAUGAUGAGAUGAAAUGAUGAGAAGAAAUGAGAUGAAAUGAUGAGAUGAGAUGAUGAGAUGAAAAAUGAUGAGAUGAAAAAUGAUGAGAUGAAAUGAUGAGAUGAAUUGAAAUGAAAUGAAAUAAUGAAAUGAGAUGAAAUGAAAUGAUGAAAUGAUGAAAUAAUGAAAUGAAAAUGAAAUGGAAAUGAUGAGAUGAGAAGAAAUGAUGAGAUGAGAUGAGAUGAAAUGAUGACAUGAGAUGAUGACAUAAGAUGAGAUGAAAUGUAAUGAUGAUAUGAGAUGAAAUGAUGAGAUAAAAUGCUAUGAAAUGAUGAGAUGAAUGAUGAGAUGAAAUGAUGAGAUGAGAUGAGAUGAUGAGAUGAAAUGAGAUGAAUGAUGAGAUGAAAUGAUGAGAUGAGAUGAGAUGAUGAGAUGAAAUGAUGAGAUGAACUGAUGAGAUGAAAUGAAAUGAAAUAAUGAAAUGAAAUUGAAAUAAAUAAAUAAAAUUGAAAUGAGAUGAGAUGAAAUGAUGAGAUGAUGAAAUAAAAUGAUAAAAUGAUGAGAUGUGAUGAGAUGAAAUGAUGAGAUGAGAUGACAUGAAAUAAUGAAAUGAAAUAAUGAAAUGAAAUUGAAAUGAGCUGAGAAGAUACGAGAUGAAAUGAAGUGAUGAGAUGAAAUGAUGAAAUGAUAAGAUGAAAAGAGUUGAUGAGAUGAUAAGAUGAAAUGAUGAGAUGAAAAGAUGAGAUGAAAUGAAAUGAUGAGAUGAAAUGAGAUGAAAUGAAAUUAGACGAAAUGUAAUGAGAUGAAAUGAAAUGACGAAAUGAAAAAAUGAAAUAAUGAAAUGAGGUGAAAUUAAAUGAGUUGAUGAAAUUAAAUGAUGAAAUGAAAUAAUGAAAUGAAAUAAUGAACUGGAAAUGAUGAGAUGAGAUGACAUGACGAGAUGCAUGAUGAGAUGAAAUGAGAUGAAAUGAUGAGAUGCAAUGAUGAGAUGAAAUGAUGAAAUGAUGAGAUGAGAUGAGAUGUAAUGAUGAGAGGAAAUGAUGAGAUGUAAUGAAAUGAGAUGAAAUGAAUGAGAUGAAAUAAUGAAAGGAAAUUGAAUUGAGAUAUGAGAUGAAAUGAGAUAAAAUGAGAUGAAAUAAGAAAUGAUGAGGUGAAAUGAAAUGCUGAGGUGAGAUGAGAUGAAAUGAGGAGAUGAAACGAUGAGAUGAAAUGAAAGGAUGAGAUGAAAUGAUGAUAUGAGAUGAGAUGAAAUGAGAUGAAACGAGAUGAAAUGAUGAAAUGAUGAGAUGAGACGAGAAGAAAUGAUGAGAUGAAAUGAGAUGAGAUAAAAUGAGAUGAAAUGAAGUGAAAUGAAAUGAAAUAAUGAAAUUGAAAUGAGAUGAGAUGAAAUGAGAUAAAAUGAUGAGAUGAAAUGAUGAGAAGAAAUGAGAUGAAAUGAUGAGAUGAGAUGAUGAGAUGAAAAAUGAUGAGAUGAAAAAUGAUGAGAUGAAAUGAUGAGAUGAAUUGAAAUGAAAUGAAAUAAUGAAAUAAUGACAUGAGAUGAAAUGAAAUGAUGAAAUGAUGAAAUAAUGAAAUGAAAAUGAAAUGGAAAUGAUGAGAUGAGAAGAAAUGAUGAGAUGAGAUAAAAUGAGAUGAAAUGAUGAGAUGAAAUGAAAUGAUGAGAUGAGAUGAAAUGAGAUGAAAUAUGAUGAGGUGAAAUGACAUAAUGAAAUGAUGAAAUGGAAUAAUGAAAUGGAAAUGAGAUGAGAUGCAAUGAGUUGAAAUGAGAUGAAAUGAUGAAAUGAUGAGAUGAAAUGAUGAGAUGAGAUGUGAUGAAAUGAUGACAUGAAAUGAUGACAUAAAAUGAGAUGAAAUGUAAUGAUGAAAUGAGAUGAAAUGAUGAGAUGAGAUAAAAUGAUAUGAAAUGAUGAGAUGAAUGAUGAGAUGAAAUGAUGAGAUGAGAUGAGAUGAGAUGAUGAGAUGAAAUGAUGAGAUGAACUGAUGAGAUGAAAUGAAAUGAAAUAAUGAAAUGAAAUUGAAAUAAAUAAAUAAAAUUGAAAUGAGAUGAGAUGAAAUGAUGAGAUGAUGAAAUAAAAUGAUAAAAUGAUGAGAUGUGAUGAGAUGAAAUGAUGAGAUGAGAUGACAUGAAAUAAUGAAAUGAAAUAAUGAAAUGAAAUUGAAAUGAGCUGAGAAGAUACGAGAUGAAGUGAUGAGAUGAAAUGAUGAAAUGAUAAGAUGAAAAGAGUUGAUGAGAUGAUAAGAUGAAAUGAUGAGAUGAAAAGAUGAGAUGAAAUGAAAUGAUGAGAUGAAAUGAGAUGAAAUGAAAUUAGACGAAAUGUAAUGAGAUGAAAUGAAAUGACAUAAUGAAAUGAAAAAAUGAAAUAAUGAGGUGAAAUUAAAUGAGAUGAUGAAAUUAAAUGAUGAAAUGAAAUAAUGAAAUGGAAAUGAUGAGAUGAAGUGACGAGAUGAAUGAUGAGAUGAAAUGAGAUGAAAUGAUGAGAUGCAAUGAUGAGAUGAAAUGAUGAAAUGAUGAGAUGAGAUGAGGUGUAAUGAUGAGAGGAAAUGAUGAGAUGUAAUGAAAGGAGAUGAAAUGAAUGAGAUGAAAUAAUGAAAGGAAAUUGAAUUGAGAUAUGAGAUGAAAUGAGAUAAAAUGAGAUGAAAUAAGAAAUGAUGAGGUGAAAUGAAAUGCUGAGGUGAGAUGAGAUGAAAUGAGGAGAUGAAACGAUGAGAUGAAAUGAAAGGAUGAGAUGAAAUGAUGAUAUGAGAUGAGAUGAAAUGAGAUGAAACGAGAUGAAAUGAUGAAAUGAUCAGAUGAGACGAGAAGAAAUGAUGAGAUAAAAUGAGAUGAGAUAAAAUGAGAUGAAAUGAAGUGAAAUGAAAUGAAAUAAUGAAAUUGAAAUGAGAUGAGAUGAAAUGAGAUAAAAUGAUGAGAUGAAAUGAUGAGAAGAAAUGAGAUGAAAUGAUGAGAUGAGAUGAUGAGAUGAAAAAUGAUGAGAUGAAAUAUGAUGAGAUGAAAUGAGAUGAAUUGAAAUGAAAUGAAAUAAUGAAAUAAUGAAAUGAGAUGAAAUGAAAUGAUGAAAUGAUAUUGAAAUGAAAUUGAAAGAUGAGAUGAAAUGAUGAGAUGAAAUGGUGAAAUGUUGAAAUGAAAUGAUGAAAUGAAUAGAUGUGACAUGAAAUGAGCUGAAAUGAUGAGAUCAAAUGAAAUGAAAUGAGAUUAAAUGAUGAGAUGAAAAAUGAUGAGAUGAAAAAUGAUGAGAUGAAAUGCUGAGAUGAAAUGAGAUCAGAUGAACUGAGAUGAGAUGAGAUGAAAUAAUGAAAUUAGGUGAAAUAAUGAAAUGAUAUGAAAUAAUGAAAUUGAAAUGAGAUGAGAAGAAGUGAGAUGAAAUGUUGUAAUGAAAGGAGGAAAUGAUGAGAUGAGGAGAUGAAAUGAUGAGAUGAAUUGAGAUGAAAUGAGAUGAAAAAUGAUAUGAAAAAUGAUAUCAAAAAUAUGAGAUGAAAUGAAAUGAGAUUAUAUGAAAUGACAAUGAAAUAAAUGAAAUUAGAUGAAAUGAAAUGAAAUAGUGAAAUGAAAUGAUGAAAUGAAAUAAUGAAAAUGAAAUGGAAAUGCGAUGAGAUGAGAUUUGGUGAAAUGAUGAGAUGAAAUGAUGAGAUGAUAUGAAAUGAUGAGAUGAGAUGGGAUGAGAUGAAAUGAGAUAAAAUGAUGAGAUGAAAUGAUGAGAUGAAAUGAUGGGGUGAAGUGAUGCACUGUCACGUGUGUGUCUAUUCUUUUUCCCAAGCAACAAAAAUUAUAAUUCAUUAAUUUUAAUUUUAUUAUUUAAGAAUAUUCUUAAGAGUUGAAGGAAAAAUAAUAUCUGUACAUUAUGGGUUACAAUCUAAGUAUAAAUAAUACAUAAAUAUAUUAAAACUUACAAAGAAUAUGUUUUGGAAUCGAAUAUACCAUGCUUCUGUGAUGACAGUUAUUUCAUGCUGGUUGUCACAAUUUUACAUGAAAAACUAAUGAAAAAAUGUUUUUAACUGUUUCUAAAAAUAACAGUUUCCAAAACAGUUUUACAUUCGAAAUAUGAAAAAGUUGUCUUUGUGUUCCUUAAUCUGAUGAGAUUUUCACACUCUGCACAUGAUAAUUGUUAGAUUUUUAUUGUGUUGAUAAAUUGUAUAUCAAAUAAAAAAUGUUAUUACCUCUUAAAUUAGGAUUUUUAGGUGAUAUAGGCAGAAAGGACAGCAAGUUUUUAUAACUUUGUCUAAAUGAACUUUCUAAAUGCCUGAGUAUUAAAAGAUAGCAUGUCUAUAAAUCACAAUGUAUAUAUUACUGUAUGACCUAGGACCAAUCAAAACCGUUACCUCUGAUAACAUUAUAUUGUGCCCAGUAUAAAAUAGAUAUAAUAAUACCUCAAACUUAAAUCCGGGCAUUGUCAUUGAAUAUCUUAAGAAUAUGCAACAAAGGUGCUUUUAAAAAUACAAGCUAGUGAUUGUACCAAAUUUGUAAAUCACAUAGGAUAGUGGGUCAUUUUAAGAAUAUUAGUUAUUUCAAUCUAUAAACGUGGAUGUCUUUCCUUUUUUGUGUUUUCUUUAAUUUCUUUCAUUAAUAUUUGUCAUUUUUGUUGUCGAAAUCUUUUACUUCCUUGGUUAAAUUUAUUUCUAAGUACAUUUUUGUAGCUAUUGUAAAAGGAAUUGCUUUCUUAAUUUCUUGUUUCAGCUAGUUUACUAUCAAUAUAUAGAAAUGCUACUGAUUUUUGUAUGUUGAUUUAUAUCCUGCAACUUUAUUAAUUUCAUGUAUCACCCUAAGAAGCUUUUGGUAGAGUCUUAUUUUUUUCCAUGUAUAAGAUCACAUUGUCUUUAAACAGGGACAAUUUGACUGUCUCCUUUCCAAUUCAGAUGUCCUUUAUUUCUUUCUCUCACCUAAUUGUCCUGGCUAAGACUUUCACUAUGUGAAAUAUGAUUGGUGAGAAUAGGCAUCCUUUUCUUGUUCCAGUAAAAUCUUUUUCUUGUUCACAGUAAAAGCUUUCACCUUUUCCACACUCAGCAUGAUCUUAGUUGUAGAUUUGUCCUUUAUGUCCUUCUGUUUUAAGGCAUAUAUUUUCUAUACUAAAUUGUUGAGAGGUUUUUUGUCAUGUAAGAAUAUUUAAUUUUGCCAAACGCUUUUAUUGUGUUUAUUAAUUUAAUCAUAUGGUUUUCAGUAUAUAUCCAAAGGAAAGAAAAUCAGUAUAUCAAAGACUUACCUGCACCCCCAUGUUUAUUACAGCACUAUUCACAAUAGCCAAGAUAUGGAAUCAGCAAAAGUGUCCAUCAACAGAUGAAUGGAUAAAGAAAUGUGAUAUACAUAUAUAAUGGAAUACUAUUUAGUCAUAAUAAAGAACAAAAUCCUGUUAUUUGUGGCAACAAGAAUGCAAGUGGAGGGUAUUAUGUUAGGUGAAAUAAACCUGGCAUAGAAACAUAAACACCACAUAACUACGUGUUCUCACUUAUGUAUGGAAGCUAAAAUUUUUAAUCUCGUAGAAGUAGAUAGUAGAGUUU